CCUAGAGUUGUAGGCCUUGCCUGCUAUCUCUUACCCAUGUCUUUUGAGUACCUUCGUUUCCUCGGCGGGUCCGCCCGCCGAUUGGACAAUUUAAACCAUUUGCAGUUGCAAUCAGCGUCUGAAAAAACUUAAUAGUUA
rnacentral:misc_RNA from 1 species